CACUGCUCAAUCCUCUGCCAUUUAGGAGUUAAAUCCCUUUGUUUAUGAACCCUAGUCACACCUCCCUGCAUGUGACUUGCACAGCCUUCCAUAAACACUUCCUGUAAAGAGAGCCCUAUUCAGGCUUUCUUUAUUGCAAGUUCUGUUUAAUUAAGAUUUUCUUAUCCCCUGCUAUGUUAAUAGCUUGCUAGACCCUGCAAGAGCCUCCUG